rnacentral:misc_RNA from 1 species
ACUCACCAAGGUCAAGAACUCUUAUAAGAUCUCUGCCAAGCUCGCCACUGCUGUGAAGCCGAAGUCCGCUGCUGCCGCCCCGAAGGCGAAGCCGAAGUCCGCAACUGCUGCAGCUAAGGCGAAGCUAAAGCCGAAAUCUGCUGCAGCGAAGCUGAAGAAGGCUGCUGUGAAGCCGAAAUGGAAAUCCUCUGCUGUGAAGGCUAAAUCUAAGGCUGCGGUCAUGAAAUCCAAGGCUGUUGCCCCGAACCCUAAAGCCGUCGGUCGGCCUGUCAAGGUAGCCAAAGCUGCUCCUUCUGCUAAGCCGAAGAAGGCAGCUCCAGUUGCUGUGAAGAAG